rnacentral:rRNA from 1 species
GACGAACGCUGGCGGCGUGCCUAAUACAUGCAAGUGGGACGCAAGGGAACACACUGUGCUUGCACACCGUGUUUUCUUGAGUCGCGAACGGGUGAGUAACGCGUAGGUAACCUGCCUAUUAGCGGGGGAUAACUAUUGGAAACGAUAGCUAAUACCGCAUAAUAUUAAUUAUUGCAUGAUAAUUGAUUGAAAGAUGCAAGCGCAUCACUAGUAGAUGGACCUGCGUUGUAUUAGCUAGUUGGUAAGGUAAGAGCUUACCAAGGCGACGAUACAUAGCCGACCUGAGAGGGUGAUCGGCCACACUGGGACUGAGACACGGCCCAGACUCCUACGGGAGGCAGCAGUAGGGAAUCUUCGGCAAUGGACGAAAGUCUGACCGAGCAACGCCGCGUGAGUGAAGAAGGUUUUCGGAUCGUAAAGCUCUGUUGUAAGUCAAGAACGUGUGUGAGAGUGGAAAGUUCACA